CGGCCGUGUGGGGGAGCGCAGUCUCUCAUCCCCUCGCUCCUCUCGCGAUACCAAACUACCAAGCUGAGGAAGGCAGGCUGACUGCGGCACGGCUGCGCUUUCUUUCGUUUUUAGUUUUACUUUUCUCUUGCACUCGUUUUAUUCUCUGCCCAUACAUGCAUUGGCGAAUACCGAUCCUGGCUUAAAGUCUCUGUUGUAGACAUUUUAUGUCUGAACUCGAGAGGCUGCUCUCCUUCACCUCAUCCUCCCUGGCGGCUGACAGUCAUGAGCCAGAGAUGUCCGCCGGGGUAGUCAAGCAUGAGCCAUCCGCAGCCAUGGAAGGAGGCGUCUUGCCGUGUUCCUACUAUGGCUGCAAGCGGACAUUUACCGACGUGCAGAAACUGAACAGCCACACGGAGAGUCACCAGAUCCCAACAGAGUCUCUUCCAGGAAAAGCGUUCCAGUGCUCGUCGGUGGGGUGCAGCGGCGUUUUCCCCAACAUGCAGCAGCUCAUGGAGCACAUGCGGUCCCACUACAAGCCCAACCACUACUUCCUGUGCGAGAGCUGCAGGGCGAAGCUUCGCUCCUACCAGGCUCUUCUGAAGCACCUGCACACCUGCGCCAAGGUGGCCAAGAACAAGGUGGUCAAAGCCGAGCCGGACAUGGCCGACGGCACGGAAACGGCCCCCGAUGCCAUGCUGCUGUCUGCGGGGCCCCCCGAGCCUCCUGACGCCAAGCAGGGCGGCAUGGAAGACAUGCAGGUGGAUCCGGGACCACCGGCGACUCCCAGGGACUCCAGGCCUGGUUCUGCUGCGACAGCUGCCCCGCUCCUCACGGUCCCCAUCGGUGGUCUCCCCCCGGACGGCCCCCUGGCUCCUGCCCCGGGCACCUUCCCUCUCCUGGAGCCCCCCCCGUUCUCCCAGCAGUCCCUGAUUAUCCCCAGGCAGCCCCAACAGGACACUCCUCCCAUGCCUUUCCCCGCCUACCAGACCCCCAUGCAGUCAUCUCCGCCCCCCAGCUACGGGCAGCACCAGCUUCAGCAGCAGCAGCGGCUUCUCCGCACCGCCGGUCCGGCCCCCCCCGGACCCCUCGCCCCCCCGGCCUCGCCGGGAUCCAACGCGGUGUGGAGGAAGAACCAAGACGCGCCCGGACCCCUUUUGCACAGAACGGACAGUCCUUCCAGCAGUCAGAGUAUAAAUACAGGUGAAAUCCAGGCCAGUCUUUCAGCAGCCGCAUUCUCUGGGAGCACACUAGGGGGCGCUACAGGUGCCUGCAGUGCAGCCACUCCACCCCAACCCGCCAGGAGAUGACCGCCCACAUUGAGGGCCACCACAAGGGCCCCGCCGCCCGCCUGCAGGGCGAUGUGGACUUCAGGGUGGUCCCACCAUUCCAGCCCAAAAGUUCACCAGAUGGGGAGCCUUCUGUCUAUACUCAGCUCUGACAGUAUGAUCUCGCUGCUGGGCUGUGUGUGUGUGUGUGUGUAUAUGUGUGUAUAUGUGUGUGUGUGUGUGUGUGAGAGAGAGAGAGAGAGCCCCAAUACUCUCCCUGAACUACCUUCUGCUGUGCUGCAGUCCAAUCAGCAUUUAACUCUUCAGUUUCAGCAAGUAAAAGCUGCCCGGAACUGAACUCUGUCUCCAUUACAUGUUUUGUAGGAUGUUUUUUUUUUUUUGAAGUACAGACUUUAAACGGAGCAUGACAUAUCCUGACUGUUUAGGAAGGGUCUUUUUUUUUUUUAAAGAAGUUUUGCCCAAUCGUGUCUUAAGCCUGCCUAGUCACAUGACUGUAGCCAAUUUAGGGCCAUUGAUUGUUCGUUUUUAAUAAUAUGGCAGCUGAUACAGCUCUUAGUGAAACUAACAUCAGUGUAGAUGGCAGAUCCAUGCAGUAAUGCCCUUCAUUUAAUUACCAAAAAUAAAUGUUUUUUUGUUGCUAUUCAAUGUACCUGCUUAGAGUCGCAUACAGUGUGGCAUAUACAGGACUGGCAUAUUUGUAUUACCUAAGACGUCUUUUGUACAAUUUGUGGUUUUGGAAAUUAAAUUUAGGAGUAUGCAAAUGGUAAAUCAAUGAAGACAAUAAAUGAGAAGACUCGUUUUCUAA